GUUACUUGUGGCAUUCACACAAACAUUUGUUUGCAUAGUAGGACAGACAUAAGAUGAAGCUCUAUCUUCUGAACACUUCGCUCCAUUUCUAUUUCCAUAGCUGCCAAUAUAAUCAGUAGUCAGAGAAGCAACCAUACAACUGCAAAACUUUCUGUUCAGCUGUGAAUAUAUCCACGUCUUCUCUAAGAGCUCAGGCAUUCUCUUUGUCACCAUUAUUUCCUAUCCCUUUUUCAAACCUUGCUGUAUCAUUUUACUAUCCUACAUGUAUAGGACUGCAAGCUAUUGCUACUCAUUUAUAUGAAAAAGGAUUUCUGCUGAGCAAUUUACAAAAAGAGUUCUUCUCUUGUAGCUAUAUUCUUUCUUAAAAAAUUUGGUAGAACAUGAAAAAAUAAUAGCCUACCUGUGCCAAGUAGGAAUUAUAAGAAAAUACAUAUUUCUCUUCAGAGUUGAAUUCUUUAAGCUGAAUAUACAAAAUAAAGUAGUACUCUUCUGCCUGUUACUCCCCUGAUAUGAUAACAGAUGGUUCAAACUCUUCAGUCAAGUCUAAAGAAAUCAUUUAGUUAUGACAACUUCUGCCUUCAUUCCGUGUCCCAGUUGUUUGGUGUGAGUUUUUUUGUAUUUUUUUUUUUUUAAAGAGGGGCAGAGGAGAGAAGAAAAUAUCCUUUAUCCCUUACUACCUUCAUUAUGUCUCUGUCCCAUGGGGAAAAAGCAGCCAUGUCGUUAUUCUUGACAAAUCUGGGGUGGACAGUCUCUACAAGCAAAUGCAUCCCCUUCAAUACCCUAACAUUUUUCCUACUAUUUGUCUCAAAUUCACUUUCUAGUCCCAGGUGCAUUGGUUGCAAACCAGUUACUCACUGACUUCUUACAACAGCCUCGUGAAGUACAGUGCUCUUCAUCUGUAGGCUGUUGAAUGCUUUCUUCUUUAUUAUGACAUAAUUCUUUCAUUCUUUAUUGUAGCUUCUUCUUUAUGCAGAAACUUACAUACUUUGCAUCCCUUUUUUUCCAGAUAUGGAGAGAAGAGUAUUCAAAGGUAGCUCAUCACAGACCUAGAAGUUGUUUUCCAGAAACCCACAGCCCAUAUGAAGAUCUGCGCUACUCGUAUUUCCAAACCUGGCCUUCUCAGAAGAGUCCAAUCCUUCUUCCCUCCCUCUCUCCGCCAAGUUUUCUGUGAGACAACAUUACAUCAC
rnacentral:lncRNA from 1 species